UUUAAAACACAUAUCUUCAGCUUCUGUGAUCAGAAUCUCUUUGAGCAGCUCUAACAUCUGGAGAUACACGAUGGUGUGAGUUUGUAGGAUAUCAUUUCAGAGGAAGGAGCUGAUCAAGUGAACCCUUCUUUUGUCUUCCGGCGUCUGAAACUCUUGAGAUUGCCGUACCUUAGAUGUUUAUACCCUGGAAUGCAUACUUCGGAAUGGCCGUCGCUAAGUACUUUGCAGGUGUGUAGCUGUGACAAACUGAAGGCAUUCGCUUCAGAAUUAUCUAGCUCCAGCAGAAAUAAUGAUGAGAAGAAUAUGUUCCAUAUCCCAGUGCUACAGCCCCUGUUCUUGUGCGGAAAGGUAUGAAACUAUUUUGUUAAGCGUUUUUAUCAGUUCCUUCUUGUUUCUUAAAAUAACUCAAAGUAGAAUUUGUAACGCCUUCAAAAAUUUUCUUUAUUAAUAAUUAUGGUAAUUCUUGGCUAGAUAAUAAGAAAUGUUAUUUCUUUUUAUUGGUUUACUAAAGGAUUUGAGAAUGAUACUAUGCUUUUUUAAUUUACUAGAAUUACUUAGAAUUUUUUAAUAUUACAUUUAUUAAUUUCACAAGACAUGUGUACUUACAUUAUUACUUACAUUUGUUAUGCAUUUAUUAUUUAUAUUUUUCAGCUUGCAUUUAUUUAAAGGUGUAAUUAUGAACAUUCAUAAUUAUAUUUAUUUAAGCUUUUUUCAUGGCUUUAUUAAAGUUUCUUUAUUAAAAUUUACUUUAUAUGAUUACACUUAUUAAAAUUUAUUUUAUAUUUAUUAUUAUUUUAUUAAUGUUUCUUUAAUAAAGCUUACUUUAAUUUGUUAUUACCUUGGUAUUUAUGAUUAUACUUAUUAAAGUUUACUUUAUAUUUAUUGUUGUUUUAUUAAAGUUGCUUUAUUAAAGUUUGCUUUACAUGUAUAUUUACAUUUAUUAUUUGCUUACUUUGUGUUUGUUAAUUCUUGAUUGAAAACCGGGACUUGAAAGAAGGAAACAUAGAAUUAUUUAACUUCUUUCAUUAUUCAUCUUCUUGAUAGUUUCAAGUUAAGCACGUAUUCACAACAAUAAAAACAUAAGUAAUAAAGACUCACCAAAUCAAGAAACUUCCAAAUUAACUAAGAUUUCUAACUCUAUUGAAGAACUAUAGAAGGUUGCUAUGAGAGAUCUAGAAUUUAGAUCUUGGUGUCGAGCUAGAGAGAAACUAUUUGUUUCUUGAUAGACUCAAAACUGCCUCACAAUGCCUUAAUUGAACAAUAUUGGUCCCGAGAUUUUUAUGAAAUUAUAUAUUAAUAAGAAAAUUAUGAAAUUAAAACUAGAAAUACUACAGAUAUAUUAACUCCUAUUUAAAAAAUCAAAAAUUUUGGAGUUCAUUUUACCGUAUAAAUAAUGUUGUGAAUUUGGUCAUUCUGCUGGAACAACAGUUUUCCAAUACAACAAUAUUGGAUGCGAAAUUCUAUAUAAAAUCAAAAAUAAAGUCAAAUCUUACGAAAUAAAUUUUUUUAAUAAGCCCUGCAUGUCUAGUUUACAAAAAGACAUGAUUAUUAUCAAAAUCAUUUUAAAUGGCCGUGAUUUUAAUGCAAAAUAUUCAUGUUGUCCAGAGAAUUCCAUAACAUGUUUCAUACAAUUAGAAUUUCAAGUUAAGCAUGUAUUCACAACAAUAAAAACAUAAGCAAUAGAGACUCACUAAAUCAAGAAGCUUCCAAAUUAACUAAGAUCUCUAAUUCUAUUGAAGAACUGGAGAAAGUUGAUAUGAGAGAUCUAGAAUUUAGAUCUUGGUGUUGAUAGAGAAAGAAGUUGAAUAAUGAAAGAAGUUGAAUAAUUCUAUGUUUUCUUAUUUCAAGUCCCGGUUUUCAAUCAAGAAUUAACAAAAACAAAGCAAGCAAAUAAUAAAUGUAAAUAUACAUGUAAAGCAAACUUUAACAAAGUAACUUUAAUAAAACAACAAUAUAUAUAAAGUAAACUUUAAUAAGUGUAAUAAUAAAUUAAAAUAAGUUUUGUUAAAGUUAUAAAGUAAAUUUUAAUAAGUGUAAUUAUAUAUACAAAGUAAACUUUGAUAAAUUAAAGUAAACUUUAAUAAAGAAACUUUAAUAAAACAAAAAGCUUAAAUAAAUGUAAUUAUGAAUGUUCAUGCAUCUUUAAAUAAAUACAAGCUUUUAUAAAAAAAUAUAAAUAAUAAAUGCAUAACAAAUAUAAGUAAUAAUGUAAGUACACAUGUCUUGUGUAAUGUAAUACUAGAAAAUUUUAAGUAAUUUUAAUAAAUUAAAAAAGUCUAGAAUCAUUCUCUAAAAUCCUUUAAUAAACCUAUAAAAUAAAAUAUAAUUUCUUAUCAUCUAUUUAAGAAUUACCUGGAAAAAGACAUCCAGGUGAUUUUCCAGGGCGAUUUCCCACGACACCUCUUUGGCAGACUUAGACGACUGGAGGUUGUGCGUGAUGACGUGGCAGCUGGUUUUCCAGUUGGUUUACUUGAGGUACUUCCCUAUCUGGAAAUUCUUGACCUGAGUUGUACUUCAUACAAAGAGAUAUUCUCAAAUGAAGGCUGCUUGGAGAGUCACGUUGGUGUAAGAAAGUUGGCGCUGAUAAAAAGUUUACAGCUGGUCGAACUUAAUCAUCUCAUCAAGUACCUGUUGAAACAAGAGUCUCAACUGGACUCCAUUUCGAAAUCUUGAAUUUCUGUCACUAAAUUACUGUCGAAAUCUGUUAUCUCUAUUGCCGUUGUCAUCAUCAGUAUCUUUUGGGAAUCUAACCCAUCUGGUAGUUUUCAGUUGCAAGAAAUUGAUGAACUUAGUACCAUCCUCUGUAGCAAAGAGUCUAGAGCGACUUGUAACGGUGAGGGUAAGUGGAUGCAGUGCAAUGACACAAGUGGUGGCAAGCUGUGAUGAGGGAGAUUCAGAUAUUGCAGGAGCAAAUUUAGAAGAAGAGAUUCUUUUCAGCAAAUUGAGGUACAUGACAAUACUUGAUUUAGAAAAUCUCACAAGCUUCUGCUCUGGCAUCGUCGAUUACACAUUCAAAUUCCCAUCUCUGGAGGAUUUGAUUGUGACCGGUUGUUGCAACAUGAAGAUUUUCACUUCAGGAGAUUUAAUCACACCCAAGAGAGUAGACGCGUGGUACUCAGAGAGCGCGUGUUGUUGGGACAAUGACCUUAACACAACCAUAUAACAUUUACAUCAAGAAAAGGUAUGGUUCCAUAAACAACUCACUAUAACCUAUCUGUCUCCGUAUAAAAAAUUUAGAAUAUGAAUUUUUAUUAAUGAGAACCUUCUCUUUUUUCUUUUUCCUUUUUCCUUUUUUCCUUUUCAGCUGUGAGAGGGGUCGUCAUCUUACUCGACCAUGUACUAAUCUGACAGGUAAUAAUUAAUUAAGCCGCUUUUUUGGUAAGGUUACUAUGUGAAACGUAUACGAAGUAAUACAUUUCUAUAGUUCCUGCUCAAUGUUGUGCUCUGAUUACAGAAUUCCCAACUUAUGAAUAAGAACGACAGUUUAUACUCUUCUCUACAGCCUCUGGAAUUAGAGCCAUUUCUUUUCUUGUGAAACUUGUGCUCCGCCUGUUGAAAGUUUACAUGCUGAGGGGCUGCUCAUUUCGAUCUUCGUUGUUCGUUUACUCCAUUAAUGUGUAGCUACAGCUUUGAAUGUAUAAGUUGAAAGACAGGAUAUACACCAAAACUGAAAGAUGUUUAGAUUUGUCGUUAAUUUGUGUGUAUUGUGUACUUGUAUCAUAAGCACCAAACUUGGGAAAUUUACAAAAAUAACCAUAAAACUUUUGUUAUUUUCACAAUUAACCCUCUCAACUUUUUUCUAUCAACAUUAGCCAAACACACGAUUUUCUCCCCAAAUUACCCUUCUUUACAAACCAAAAGCAACUUUCUUUCUCCCCUUUCGUCAAACCAAAGGCAGCUUCCCACUCUUGAAUCAUCAACCAACGGUAACGGCAAAAGGCAACGAUAAAAAGUGAAAUCCAAUCAUAAUUUAUCCGGAUCCAAUACUAAUCGGCAUCACAUAGUGGUAUGAGUUAUUUUCUGAACUUGCUCGUGAGUUUGACUGAACUACGGAUGGUUUCGUGGGUGAAUCUGGCGACAGGUUGCCUGUCGCACCAAGUUUCGUGCGACAGUCAGCUUGUCGCACGAAAAGCCAGAUUCAUUGCAAUUAACUAUUAAUUUGAUAGGGUUGAAAUAAUUUAUUUUUUUUAUAAUUUCAGGCUUAAUGGAUUCAGUUGUACUUGAAUUGUGUUACGAUUGUUGGUGGGAGACAUUAGAGGAUGGGCGUAUGGAGUAUGUCAAUGGUAAAAAUAGAGCUUUUUUUGUUGGGAAAAAUUAUCUUUUUGAUCAGUUAUUGGCAAGAGUAUACGAUGUGUUACAAAUUAAUCCUAAUGAAUAUAGUAUCACAAUGAAGACAACUUUGAGGUCUAGUAACACAUUAUAUCGUGUAUGUGCACUGCCCAUGGAUAUAUUUGAUGAUGAAAUGGUGAGGGUUGUGUUACACAUGGCAUCCGACGUAGCUAAUUUUGGAUGCAUUCCUAUAUUCGUGACCACAUCACCUCGAGUUCCGAACGAAGGUAUUGAGCCACAUGUCGAUACAGAAACUUCGUUUAGAACAAAUAUGUCUGGCCCCGAUAAUGAAGAAGAGGUGUUGCCAAGGACAAUAUCACUGCAUCAAUAUUACUCUCCAAUCCACGACAAUUAUGACAAUAUUGAUGAUAACGGCGUUACGUUACAGGAUGUUGGAGCAACGAUAUUUCCAAUAACGACGUCGUUGGAGCAACGGUAUUCUCCGUAUCACAAUAAUGAUUUUCGGGACAAUGAUGAUUUUCAUGAUGAGACAGAGGGGGAUAAUGUUUGUGCAGAACCUUCUAAUAAUAUGAGGGGCACUCAUUUCAAUAAUGAUGGUGAUGAUGGAGGAGCCGAUCCUUCGAAUGUUCCGUCGUUUCAGCAUGAGGAUGAGUGUGAAGACAAUACUCCUGUGAAUAACAGAGGCAAUAGACCUAUUCCUUCUAUGGUUCGAUCGAGAAGGAGAAUUGACCCCCUCACAAGUCUUGCUCCAACUUUGCCUUCAAACAUGGUUGCUCCAAGCUUUGUUAGCAGUUGUGACUCAUAUGAUAUCAGUGUGGGCAAUCUAUUUGCUGAGAAAAAUGAGUUUAUAUUACAACUACGCAAGGUUGCCUUUCGGGAUAAGUUUGAUUUCAAGAUUGCACGGUCUACUACAACACGUUUCGAGGCUCACUGUUGUUCAGAAUCAUGUAAAUGGCGUAUUCGAGCAACUAGAUAUUCGAACGAGCAAAAUGUUCCUUGGGUGGUGCGGAGAAUUGAUAAUAUACACACUUGUCAUAAUGAGGUAUUGGUUGAUGGACGUCAUCAAGUCAGGAGCCGGGUUGUCGGUCAUAUUAUCGCAGAUAAAUAUAUUCAAGACAAGAGAAUUUAUACUCCGAAUGACAUAAGAGCAGAUAUGCAACAAGAAUACGGUGUUCAGUUAACAUACCAACAGGCAUAUCGGGCGAGAGAAGUUGGUCUUGAAAUAGUUCGAGGCAACCCUGCAGAGUCAUACAACUUGCUCCCUAAAUACUCUCACGUACUAACUACAGCGAAUGAGGGUACAGUCACUCACCUCGAGCAGGAUGGAGAUGGUAAUUUCUUGUACUAUUUUGUAGCACUCGGAUCUUCCAUCAAGGGUUUUAUGCAGUACAUUCGGCUUUCUUGUACUAUUUUGUAGCACUCGGAUCUUCCAUCAACGGUUUUAUGCAGUACAUUCGGCCUGUCAUUGCUGUAGAUGAUACUCAUCUCAAGGGGCUAUAUCGUGGAAGCAUGUUCGUGGCAACAUGUCUAGAUGGUAACAAUCAAUUGUAUCCGUUAGCCAUUGGGAUCAUGGAUUCAGAAAACAAUGAUGCUUGGGAAUGGUUUAUGAUGAAGUUACACGGAGUGAUUGGCGAUAGACCUGAGUUGGUAAUUAUAUCUGAUCAAUGCACUGCCAUAAAGAGAGCCGUUCUUAAAGUAUUUCACAAUGCAACUCACGGCGUUUGUUUUUACCACGUGAAAGGUAACAUUAAGUCACAGUUUAGAAUGUCAAAAGCUCUUUGGGAUCAAUUUGAGCCUGCCGUUAUUAAUGCAGCAAAAGCAUAUGGCCACGAGGAAUUUAAGAGACAACUUGAAGGGUUGUGGAUGAUCCACUCGGGUGCGGCUGACUACCUAAAAAAUAAUGUUGGUACCUGUAAUUGGGCAAGGUCUCAGUUUGAAGGUAGGAGGUACAGCAUACUUACCACCAACAUCGCGGAGAGUGUUAAUUCUUUCAUGAGGGAACCGCGAAAAUUUCCUGUUACUCAUCUUGUUGAUCACUUUAGGAAAAUGUUGCAGCAAUGGUUUUAUGAUAGAAAAAUUGUGGCUGAAUCAAUGAGUACCGGCUAACAACAUGGGCGGAUGAAAUUGUCACUGAGAGGAGAACUAUAGCUGAAAGAAUGAUAGUUCAGCCUGUGUCUCCGCAUCGAUUUCAAGUUAUAGGUGGUGGGCUUAAGGAAGGUUUGGUUGACUUGCAAAAGAAAACUUGCUCCUACAGAGUAUUUCAGCUUGAUCAGCUUGUAUGUGCUCAUGCAAUUGCGGCGUGUCUAACACACCGGGUGGAUUUUAUUAACCUUUGCUCGGACUUUUACACUACAGAAUCGUUGACGAUGGCUUAUGCACAACCAGUGGAGCCAGUUGGUGAUGUGGCUGAUUGGGAAGUUCCAGAUGAAAUUCAGGAGAUGCAAGUAUACCCACCAGUUGAGGCACCACCACCUGGCCGUCGUAAAGAGCUCAGAAUACCCUCGGCUGGCGAGGACGUUAACCGGCGGACUGUAAAAUGCGGGCGGUGUCAUGAACUGGGCCAUAAUCGUAAGCGAUGUAAGAAUCUCAUUGCGUCGACUCGAAGUUAGUUGUAUUAUUUCAAUGAUUCGUUGGUUAAUACUGUUAUUGUUUUUUGUGUUUCGUUGGUUAUAACUGUUAUUGUUUUUUGUGUAUUGUACACUGAUAUGUCAUAAAACUUUAUUUUAUUUUAAAUAUUAAAAUGUGAGCAUUAAAAUUAUAUCAACUUAAGUGCGCAAAUUAAAAUAAAAAAUCAAGUUUCAACAUUCAAAUUACUACAACAGUUUACAAUACAAUAUCAUCAUUAAAUAUGCCAACUGCAAUCUUCUUUCUAAAGUACUCGACAUGACUAGUGUUAAACUCCAAUCUAAGCCCGAACAUUAAAUACAUCGUAACCAUCAAUACAAAAACACUGCAAUCGCCAGUUUUGGGCUCUUAUUGUGGCGCGCUCUUAACUGCCAUAACUUUUCAGGGGUCUGCACUCCGCAACUCAGGUCGGAUGUUGUAGAAGCCAACAUAUUCCAACCAUCGAGGGAAUAUAACUUCAAGUAGCUUGAAUUUCAACUUGUACCUUUUGUCGUCGCAAAAUGUGAGUAAUGAGUCAUAAAUCCAUACUUUGUUUUUCCGAAAGUCAACUCGUGCUACUACCCAAUGCGCGCCGUCCAAGUUAACAGGGAUGAGUAACUGUAUAUAAAAAUUGAAAAACAUGUUCGUUAUAUAUGAAAUUGAAAUACAACCAAGAAAAAGCGACAACUUUGAUAUUUUAAUUAUGAAGUAUGUGAAAUGCAAUAAAAUACAUACCAUAUCGACAUCCGUCAUUGAUUUGGACAUUGUGUGCUGUCGCCCACAAAGAUAAUUAUUCAAGUGGUCCUCGAAUACUAAUGAAUCGACUGCACAAUCUCCGUUGUUCCAUAACUGAUUCAAGAACACCUAGUACAUAGAUAACCAAGAAAUGCAUAAAUUAACAAAACUUAAAGGCAAUAAUUAAAAAAACAUAAAUAGUAUUUAUAAGUUUUGUCGGCACGUUACCCAAAAAAAUGUGUCAGUAUGUGUGACAUGUUGAACUAAGGCAUUCGGAUACUGCCGUUGUUUCUCGCUAAUCAAGCGGAGAUACUCGUGAAUAUGAUGUUGAGAAACAGAAACAUUACGAUUUAAAAGAUAAAAUUUAUACACAAAUCCACAACACUCAAAGAACUUCGAAAAUAUAAUUACCUCAUCGCCUAGCCAUCCCAUUGAAGUUAAACCCAAAAGUAUUUGAAAGAAUGACCGCGGGUGCUGGACUCUCCGAACCAUUGUCAUAUCACUAGCGAACCAUCGAUCAAACUCAACAAACAGACUACAAUCCUCCAAUCCUCUCAGUGGAUUUAUAUCUACACUCGUAUUCAUGUCUUAGGUAUGGUCCAUGAUUUGGGGUCGAGGUAUAGGCCGGGCGUUCUUUCCUCGCCUGAGUGGAGGAAUCAUGUAAGGACUGUUACAAACAUACAACGGUAUGUACGCGCGGCCGAACUGGAGGCACCUCAGAGAACACCUACACACUCUCCCCACUAACAUCCCCGUAGAAACUAUACAAUGACGUGGGCGUAGAUAAAUUUUGAUUGCCCACGUCAGUAUACACUCCAUAGUCAUCCAGGGCCUGUCCAUUCGCCAAGAUGAACAUAUUAAACAACUAUUAAAUUAAAAGUUAAACGAACAUAAUUAUUAAAUUUAAUUAUGCUCACCUCAUACGAGCGUCCGGUGGGAGAAUCCUUAUUUGGACGUGUAGAAAAGGUGUCGAUAAAGCCAACCACGGUUUCUUUAAAAUCUUUUAAUUCCGACUUUAAUUCAUACACGUUACGAUCAAUCUUAUCCAGCCGUCGUCGCACGUAAUCAUUAAACUGCUUUGUCCUCGACUAUUACAAAAGAAAAUAAGUAAAUCUUUAGAAUAAUAGUAAAACAAUAAUGAUUAAUAAAAGAAGAAUAUCGUAUAUUAUUUAUAACCUCAGAAUCAUGUGCGUCAUCAGAGUCGGCAGGUGUCUGCUCCUGGUGGUCAUCAACAACCACCUCAUCCUCAGAAGUGUUAUGACGCUGCUCUGGUGUUGGGUUUGGUAUGUCAUCAUGCUCGUCAUGCUCGUCUGAUUGCCUUGAAACCGACGGCAUCGCAUUGAUUGAGGGUUGGUGCUGUAUCAAGUAUCAUUUAAAAUUAAUAAAUGAAAAGUCAAAAAUUUCGAUUAAAUAUAAUUUAUAGUACUUAGAUUUAUAACCGACCUUAUGAACCCAAUCUGGAAUGCUUGGCAUGUAAUCCUUCACAGUGAGCCAAUAUUUUUUGCUACUCUCCUUUGAAUUUGGCUCAAGGGUUUGUAAAACGUCCCCCUGCCAUAAAUUCAAUUGAAAAUUUUAAGUAUACAUAACUUACAUUUAGUAAAGUUAAAAAAAUAACUAAUACAUAUUACUUACAAUACGAGAUUCGUCGUUGAAGAACGAAUAAACCUCAGCAAAGUUGAUUCUCGAAGACGCCAUGGGCUUCCAUUGCACGAUGCGGGGAAUCUUGUUCUUCGUUUUCACGACACAUGUUGACGGCAAACCUCCGAUCGCUUCGUAAAUCCAAGCCUGCAACAACCAAAGUGAAAAACCUAUUAACACAUCUAUCAAAUAUUUAAUACUAUAAAACCUAUUAAUAAACAAAAAAACAAUGCACCUGAACCCCGGACGUAAAGCCGUAAAGAUUGUACUUUUCAAUGUUAUGGUCUAGGUUUUUCAACCGAGUCGUCUUAAAUUUCUCGUUUUUCUCGAAUAGUGCAUCAUCAAGACUAUCGUAUACCAUUUCCCACGACACAAGACCCAUGGACGGUUUCGGAAGUACUGUAUAUCAUCAACUUCGUUAAGCCAAUCGAAAUUGAUUUGACAGUGAUUUUUCUUGCAUUUAGUACUCUGUCCGCAAAAUAAAAUAGCGCAAUCUUUAAUGCGUUCAUAUCGUCUAUUUCCUCAAAUUUCAACUCCUUAAAUAAUGCAUCGAAUUCCUUAACAUUGAUCUUGCGAUGCACACCACCAAAAUACGUUUUACGUAGCCUAUCCACUUUUUUGUCAUCACUUAGUCUGCUGUACCGUACAUCCGCCUUGGCCGUACAGCAGAUAAAAAUUGAACUGAUCCUCACGACUUUCUUCAUGGGCCACUUGCCUCAGUAAAAAAUUGUGCAAAAUUACCCCACUAAAUGAAAAACUUUGACACUCCAAGAAAUGCCCAAAUAUAUUCUUCUUGAACAUAUUCAACUGCCGCUUUGUUAAUUUUUCCUCGAUGACUUUUACGACCGAAGAUAACUUACACAUGCUCGAAAUUCGACCAGGAAAGUGAUCGGCAUAACCAAAAUACAUCUUGCCUACUUCGAUACCCGGUGAUUCUGAUUUCGCCAUGUAUCUGUAAUAUUUAUAAAAUUAUUACAUUGCAUUUACAGAAAAAAAAAAUUGACUUGUCAAAAAAAAAAAAAAUGGGUGCGAUAGGCAAAACUGGUGCGACAGAGCCCUGCCGUCGCACCAAUUUGGUGCGACAGCACUGCUGCUGUCGCACAGAUUGGUGCGAGAGGCUUGCUGUCUCACCGAUUUGGUGCGACAGCGGGGCGCGCAUGCGCGCGCGCUGCCCCCCCUCCCCACAACACUCAAAAAUCCACAGCACUCAAAAAUCCAAAAACAAUACUCCCAAAACACCACCAACCACCACAAACACCACCACCACCACCAUUAUUCUCAAACUACAACCAUUAUUAUUCUAAAAUUUCAUUUGAAAUUAAUGAAAAUAAGAAAAAUGGCUAACCUAGGUUUUGUUGAAGGUUGUAGAUCGUAGAUCGGACGCCGAUGAGAGAUGGAGCCACCGCCGACGAGGGAUGAUGUUGCCGCCGAUGAUGGGAGUUGGUUCGGUUUGGGAGAGAUGAGUGAAAGGGAGUGUUGGAGGAGAGAUGAGGGAGAGGGGUAUUUUGGUCUCAAAGGUUGUUUUAUGACUAAUGUUGAUAGAAAUUUGUUU
rnacentral:lncRNA from 1 species